rnacentral:rRNA from 1 species
UACGUAGGGUGCAAGCGUUGUCCGGAAUUAUUGGGCGUAAAGAGCUCGUAGGCGGUCUGUCGCGUCGGCUGUGAAAACCCGAGGCUCAACCUCGGGCCUGCAGUCGAUACGGGCAGACUAGAGUGCUGUAGGGGAGACUGGAAUUCCUGGUGUAGCGGUGAAAUGCGCAGAUAUCAGGAGGAACACCGGUGGCGAAGGCGGCAUCCUGGACCGGCACUGACGCUGAGGAGCGAAAGCCAGGGGAGCAAACGGG